rnacentral:sRNA from 1 species
CCCGAGUAGCUGGGACUACAGAAAUGCUGGUUAUUUCAGUCACUUGCCGAUGACUUCUGAUGUCCCAGCAAAUGGCAUUGUUGACUGCUGAGAAGAUACUUCUGAGGACCCACGUCUAAGGUGGACUUGGCUCGCACUCUUCUAGUUAGUCUCUGAACAGGAGUGAUGCCUCCAGGCAGGUGGCAUGCUGUCUAUCCAGCUCAGGCCCAGUCUUCGAGGGAGCGAGGGCGGCUUCAGACAGUAAAGAAGGAAGAAGAGGAUGAAAGCUAUACUCCAGUGCAGCCUGCCAGGCCACAGACACUCAACCGCCCUGGCCAGGAGCUGUUCCGCCAGCUCUUCAGACAGCUUCGUUACCAUGAGUCUUCGGGGCCCCUAGAAACUCUGAGCCGGCUCCGGGAACUCUGUCGCUGGUGGCUGAGGCCUGACGUUCUCUCCAAGUCACAGAUCCUAGAGCUGCUGGUGCUAGAACAGUUCCUGAGCAUCCUGCCUGGGGAACUCCGGGUGUGGGUGCAGCUCCAUAACCCUGAGAGUGGCGAGGAGGCUGUGGCCUUGCUGGAGGAGCUGCAGAGGGACCUUGAUGGGACAUCAUGGAGGGACCCGGGCCCUGCCCAGAGCCCAGAUGUGCAUUGGAUGGGUACAGGAGCCCUGCGAUCUGCACAGAUAUGGUCCCUUGCUUCACCUCUCAGGAGCAGCUCUGCUCUGGGGGACCACCUGGAGCCUCCCUAUGAAAUAGAAGCACGUGACUUCCUGGCUGGGCAAUCCGAUACUCCUGCUGCCCAGAUGCCUGCCCUUUUCCAGAGAGAGGGGUGCCCAGGAGACCAGGUAACACCAACCAGGUCCCUGACAGCCCAGCUCCAGGAGACUAUGACUUUCAAGGAUGUGGAGGUGACCUUCUCCCAGGACGAGUGGGGGUGGCUGGACUCUGCUCAGAGGAACCUGUACAGGGAUGUGAUGCUGGAGAAUUAUAGGAACAUGGCUUCUCUGGGUAAGUAAUUGAUAUCUUCAUGCUUCUAUCCGUCUUUAUUUCUGCCUUCUUGGGUUGUUCUGUGCUGCAUAGAAAGGUACCUGACCUGGUUUUAGAUCCUGGCUCUGUAACUGCUAACCAGAUCACUUAAUGUAGCACCUUGGUAGCCUCUUUUGAAAAAUGGAGAGAAUAAUGCCUGCCAUUCUGGAUUAUUAUAAAGAUUAAAGGUGGUAGCUCACACCUGUAAUCCCAGCACUGCGGGAGGCCCAGGUGGGAAGAUUCCUUGAGCUCAGGAGUUUGAGACCAGUCUGGGCAACAUAGUGAAACCCCAUCUC